GAAAUGACUUCUGCUUGUUAUCUUACAGGGAAAGAAGAAAAAGAGGAAGAGGGAAAAACUGCAGGAAUCUUCCACAGGUGCAGGCCCAAGACUGACAGCUGCCUACAUUUGAAGCAUGGAGGAAAAUGAAAUGACUUUUCGACAUGCAAGUCUAAGACUGCAACACCAGGCCGUUUUAUAAAGAUGGAAGCCUGCAAGAUUACCUAACGUCUCCUUCACCUGCACAGUCCACCCAAAGGAGUCCAUAGAGACAUUGAGUUCACCUGGAUACAAUGCUAGAGACACUGAACUUUUAAAGACAAUCACUGCCUGUCCCAUGCACCUCCAUCUCACAAGAACAAAAUCACCAUGAAAGUGCACAUCUGAAGUUCGAAUAGUCACUUUCACCUUCACUACUGUCCUGUCCAUGGAAUUCUCACCUACCCGAUUUUGCACGUCACUUAAUUCCAUGUCCUUACUUUACCAUGAUGAGAAAGACAACAGUUGACUGUUGAUCAUGAGUGACCAAAUGGUGCAUAUCCCAUUGCCAUGUAGCUCACAUGGCUGAAGAUAUGUUUUGGAGACUGCCUCUCAAACCUCUUAUUUAAUGGUGCGAAAGGAAAUGUUUUAUUUGCAUUUUGUAGCUCUUUUUUUAAGUUGAAUGCUUUUUGUAUUAACUUUUUUUUGUUUCUUGGUGUAUAUUUUAGUACCCAUAAAUUUUGUUUUUCAAGGAGCUUUUAGGACUUGGAACAUUUUGUUCAUUUUAUGGCCUUUUUCACCCCGAUGGAGAAGAACUUCAAUUUAAGAAGGCUUUCAUGAACUGUUUUUACUAAAUAGUGGCCUGUUCUCAGUCUAUAUUAGGUAUACUGUGGAGCAAAAUAAAUGUCACAUCAAGGUCAACCUGCCUGAAAAUGCAUCAGUGCUAUGUCAUUGUUCUUUUGUAAAGAAUUCUAAACCUAUUAUAAGCUAUAUCGUAGCAAUUCUACGGUUACUAUGGGUUUUAUUUCUAAGAAACUGCAGCACUUGUGCCAUGUUCCUUUGUUACCCUGUACUUUUGUUUCUCAGAUGGAUAGCUAUUAGCAGGAUCUUUUGUGCCACAUUUUUAAUAAAAAAAAAAAAAAAAUGCUGUACCAUUUUAAUAUUAAAGGGGUACCAAAAUAUUUUGCUUGAAACACUGUUGAUGUAGAUCAUCUAUCCAGUUCUGUUUGUCAACGUAAUGUGCUGUUCCAUUGUUUUUAUGAUUUUUGUAUUAAAUUAAACCUUACAUGUCUGGUUAUAA